ANUGUAUGAAAUAUGUAAUAAGAUCAUAAAGAUAAAACAAGAUUUUAAGUAAAGAAAUCAAAGAAAGUUAAGCAGAGAAAACGAUGUUUUAUUAUAACGAUGAUAUGGAGAGAAAGUUACAACAUAGCAAUUCUGGUUUGAACUAAACUAAAAGAAGAGUUCACUAUUUAUAGGUACAUACCAUACCAUAAAGAUGGAAAUAAUAUGAAAUAAUGAUAGGGCCGGCCCGUGAGCCAAGCUACCUAGGCAACCACCCAGGGCUUCCAAAUUUUGGCUUGGGCCCAAGGCCUCAAAAUCCAUAUUAAUUCCAAAAUGAAAAAAUGGUUUGGGGCCUUUGGGUUUUGGAGUCUACAUAAACAACCGUGAACCACCUCCCUCACUCCUCAAGACUUUUUAUCUUUUAAAUUCGAGAAUUAUUCCACUUCCUCUCAAAUUCAAAAAUUCUCAAAUCUCAAUCCUCUGCUUCGGUUCGGUGCUUCCAGAAUCCAGAAUUCUCUAGGGCCUCCAAGCUUCCAGUUCCAGGGACCAGUUUCAAUGGACAAAAAUUUGAAAUCUACUGUGAAAACCCCCAAUUUCUCCGCCUCUCGCACUCGCAUAGUCGUACGCCGGUCUGUCCUCUGCCAGAUUCCUUUUUUUUUUUUUUUUAUCUUAUCAGGUCCUUGGUUUUGGUAAGCAGCCUUAUAUGUCUGAUUUAGAUUGAUUACUGAUUAAUGAUUAUUUGUUAAUUUGGCUUUGACACUAAAUUUCAUUGUCAUUUUCAUAUUCUUUUAAAAUUUAAUAUCACAGUAUGUCACUAUGAGUCUAAUGGUUUGGUCUUAAUUUAAAUAAAAGGCAAUUUUUUUUUUUGUUUGAUUGGAUUUUAUAUAUUGUAGUUUAAUAUUUUCAUGUUAUAUGAGUGUUUAAGAAGACUCCGAUCUCCAAUUGCUUUUUAGUGAGAUUUAUAAUUUAGAAGUUCUUUUUUUUUUUUAGGUUGAAUUCUAAUUUCCCAUUGUUGUUUUUAUUGAAAGUUCUAAUUUACUAGCAGCUAGCUUUGCUUGUUAUUUCUAUUGCCUGAUAUUGUUUGUUCAUGAAAUGGGCUUAUUAUAUUAAUUUGAAACAAAUAGUUCUAAAAUCACUCUUUCCAUGGCCUUUUGUAAUUAUUCGAUAAAAAAUAAAUUGAUCAAAGUGGUUUAAAAGAAUGCUUUAAAUGUUAGUAUAUAAAAUUGAAGAAGAUAGCCAAAUAUAGAUAUGAGAUCCAGACUCAUAUUCAACUCUAGCUCGUUUAUGGAGGUUUUUAAUCAAGAAUGGCUAAUAGAAUAAAUCAAUUUUUUUUCUUUUUCUUUGGGGAGUGAUUUCAUAUAGAGAUUGUAAGUGAUAUUUUAUUUACCAAUUCUAUCUUUUAGAUUGUACAAAGUUUUCACUGAAAUAUAGAUUUUUUUUAUUU
rnacentral:lncRNA from 1 species